UCCUACGGGAGGCAGCAGUGGGGAAUUUUCCGCAAUGGGCGAAAGCCUGACGGAGCAAUCUCGCGUGAGGGAUGACUGCCUAUGGGUUGUAAACCUCUUUUUUCAGGGAGGAAUAAAUGACGUGUACCUGAAGAAUAAGCAUCGGCUAACUCCGUGCCAGCAGCCGCGGUAAUACGGAGGAUGCAAGUGUUAUCCGGAAUCACUGGGCGUAAAGCGUCUGUAGGUGGUUUAAUAAGUCAACUGUUAAAUCUUGAAGCUCAACUUCAAAAUCGCAGUCGAAACUAUUAGACUAGAGUAUAGUAGGGGUAAAGGGAAUUUCCAGUGGAGCGGUGAAAUGCGUAGAGAUUGGAAAGAACACCGAUGGCGAAGGCACUUUACUGGGCUAUUACUGACACUCAGAGACGAAAGCUAGGGUAGCAAAUGGGAUUAGAUACCCCAGUAGUCCUAGCUGUAAACAAUGGAUACUAGAUGUUGAACAGAUCGACCUGUGCAGUAUCAAAGCUAACGCGUUAAGUAUCCCGCCUGGGAAGUAUGCUCGCAAGAGUGAAACUCA
rnacentral:rRNA from 1 species